GACGAACGCUGGCGGCGUGCCUAAUACAUGCAAGUCGAGCGAAGUUUUUCUGGUGCUUGCACUAGAAAAACUUAGCGGCGAACGGGUGAGUAACACGUAAAGAACCCGCCUCAUAGACUGGGACAACUAUUGGAAACGAUAGCUAAUACCGGAUAACAGUAUUUCUCGCAUGAGAGAUAUUUAAAAGUUGGUUAUGCUAACACUAUAAGAUGGCUUUGCGGUGCAUUAGCUAGUUGGUGGGGUAAAGGCCCACCAAGGCGACGAUGCAUAGCCGACCUGAGAGGGUGAUCGGCCACACUGGGACUGAGACACGGCCCAGACUCCUACGGGAGGCAGCAGUAGGGAAUCUUCCGCAAUGGGCGAAAGCCUGACGGAGCAACGCCGCGUGAGUGAAGAAGGAUUUCGGUUCGUAAAGCUCUGUUGUUAGGGAAGAAUGGAUAUGUAGUAACUAUACAUGUAAGAGACGGUACCUAACCAGAAAGCCACGGCUAACUACGUG
rnacentral:rRNA from 1 species